CCUUAAAAUACACCAACCAGCAUCAACAACUCCACACAGCAUGAAGUGAGGGAUGAAGGGCGUGCUAGUAACGACCCACCCUUGCCAACGAGGGAAAGACCAUUGCAACGACUCGCAAAGAGUCUCCCUGGUGAAGAUGGAAUGAGACGUGAUGGGACUGCUACUGAGAUCAAAAUACUUGGGAGCAGAUAUGAGCCAACAAAUAGAAAAGAAAAGAAGGGAAAUAUAGAUGUAGGAAGAUUUGAAGGGAAAAUAGAGCAAUUGGAUGCAACAAAUAGAAUGAAAGGAGCAAAAUAGAAUGAAAUGAGCAAAAUAGAAAAUUGAAGAAGGAAAAGUAUGUGUUAUGUUUUGGGGAGAAUGCUGUAUUUUUAGAAGGGAGCAUUUAAUGAAGAACUGAUCAAAUUGAAAAGGCUAAGAAUGGUAGAUAAAGAAAAUGUUGGAAAAGAUAAUAAAAUGUAAGACUGUUAGGAGCAUGGGGAGCAUAGUUUAUAACUAAAUAGGGAAAGUUUUUAGGAAUUGCAUUAAUGACAGGAGAUUUACUAUUUUAAUGUAUACUUCCUAUAUUGAGGUUACUAGUCAAAGCCACAUUUAAGCAAAUUAAAUUCAAAGAUAUCAAAAUAAUGGGAAAUUGAUACAUAAGGUAUCUAAGCUGAAGAUCAACUCUUAUAAUCUUGUGAUAUUCAAUGUGUGAUGUGAUUUGUAUUUGUAUGUGUAUGUAUUUUUAUGCCUUUUAUACAAAACUGUGAUAACCAGGCAAAUGCUGAACCAUUUGCACAUUCAUGCUUUUAACAAUGUUUACUAUUAAAGAGGGGUUAGGGAGACUGGAUCUUUUACUCACUCCUUGUCAAAUUAGGAGAGAGAUGUUUGGUCCAGUAAUCCCUCAGAGUGGAAUUUCAUAAUCUAGUCACUGGUGAUAAUACAAUGUGACUUAUUUAGUCACUAGGUAGUGUAACUAAUAUGACUGGAUUAUGGAGUAGCACUCUGGAUAAGAAUAAUCAAAUGUGAGACUUAUUAAGUCUCAAAGGGGAGAAUAUGUGGAAGAUUUUUAUUAGUAAAAUUUUAAUCAAUCAAGAAUAAUCAAUGUGAAUCUAGCCAUUUUUGUUGCUAG